rnacentral:lncRNA from 10 species
GGUGCACGGUGCAUGGAGAUAGGGAAGAGAGAGUUGGGAAUCCCUGGGAUGUGCGCCCUGUAACGGGAAGGAGCGGGAGAAGACACUUAUUUCAGUUAGGAGGAGAGAAUGGCACAAGACUGCGAAGAGCAAUCUCCAGUUCUUUCUAGUUCUCUUCUAGGUCAUCCUCUGCCCUGGCUUCAUUCUCACGCUGUAUUAGCUCUCCUUGGCUUGCAGAUGGCGUCUUCUCCCUCUGUCCCCACGUGGUCCUCCCUCUGUGUGUGUCUGUGUCCUCAUCUCUCCUUGUAAGGACACCAGUCACCUUGGAUUAGGGCCCGCCCUAGAGACCUUACUUUAACUUUAAUCAUCUCUGUAAAAACCCUAUUUCCAAACAGGGUCACAUUUUGAGGUUCUGGGGUUUGGAUUCCAGCAUAUCUUGUUAGGGGCAGGGUGGACACACUUCAACCUGCCCAGGGUCCCUUCAGGGAGAAGGGAGGCAGUCGCAUCUCUGGAGCAUGGGCUGAGUGUGUUCUCAUGUCACUUCUGCAGUAAGUGGGCUUUCCGUCCAGUCUGUCUGUUGUAAAUCAGAUGUGCAAGUGAGGGCAGCUGCCAGAACUUCCAUAGGAGUUGGCUGCCGUGUUCACAAUCCAGGUGGUGACAGAAGGCUGCAGGUACUAGAGGGAAGGGCAGGUCCCACCACUGCAGGAGAGGUAGCUGGGAACAGGGGUGGGAGUGUGGGUCCCCAUCAUAGGGGAGGAGGAGGGAAAGGAAAGGGGGAAAAGGGAGACGGAGAGGGGAAGGGGAGCAGGGAUGGUGGAAGAGAGGGGAAGUGGGGAGAAACAGGAGGAAGAGAUGAGGAAGGGAGAGGGAAGGGAGGGGAGGAAGAGUUCAUUGCUGCAGGUUGGCUGGGCUGAGUGUUUUACAGAUGCCGUGGCUGAAUCCUGACAGCCCCCUGAGAAGUUGGCUUCUCUGUGGCUUAUAGCUAAGCUAAGCCACCUGCUGGAGCUGAGAUUUGGACCCCAGCAGCCUGAAUCCCAGCCCCUGCACACUGCCCCUCUGGGUAGGGGACUUCCAGCAU